rnacentral:rRNA from 1 species
GACGGAGGGUGCUAGCGUUGUUCGGAUUUACUGGGCGUAAAGGGCGCGUAGGCGGCCAGAUCAGUCGGGUGUGAAAGCCCGGGGCUCAACCCCGGAACGGCACCCGAGACGGUUUGGCUGGAGACCGGGAGAGGAGGGUGGAAUAGCCAGUGUAGAGGUGAAAUUCGUAGAUAUUGGCUGGAACACCGGUGGCGAAAGCGGCUCUCUGGCCCGGUUCUGACGCUGAGGCGCGAAAGCGUGGGGAUCAAACAGG